AGCUUAAAACUGUGAGUGAAAAAAUGAGCAUGAAUUAUGUUUACAACCUGAAUUUCUAGUUACUUUCUUCUCUGUCCAUACCCACAAUACCCUUUCUUCUCCUUCCCCGACUUCUUCUCCUUCUUCUCCUUCCUAAAUUGCUCCACAUCAUUUGUCGCGCACACCGAUCACUUCUUCUCUUCUUCAGACUCUUGAUGGAGGCCCCACUCGUUGGUCUUUCACCUCGUCAAGGGAUAGUUCUUCCUCAACUUUUGUGACAGAUUCCCUUUCAUGAGCUACCUUCUUCUGCUCCAUGGGCUGACUCUAGCCACACGCACGACAGUCGAAGCUCGAUCACACUACCUUCUUUCCCAUUCAAGCUCGUGGUUAUUCACACUGCUUCGUCCUCUGUCAAUCUCAUCGGACCUGGUAAUUGAUUUCGUUUUCUACUUGUUUUGAAUAAACUGAUUUACGUUUAUCCUCUUGAUUUGAUUAAUAAGAUGAUUUGAAUAAAAACCUAAUUGCUACUUUGCAUCUCAAGAAUUAAAAAGCCCUAAAUAUCCAUUUGGUUAUGGUAAAAUUAGGUCACUCUUUCCACUGCUUGGUUAACCUCAACUAGAAAGAAUUAGGCUCAUAAUCUCAAAAUACUCUAUGCAUGCAAACACAUUCUACUAUGUAAGUAACUGGCCUUAUUAAACCUCACAAUCUCUUCCUACAUUGAUUGACAAUAUACUUUAUCAUCAUUCUUCAAUUGACCACACAAGCCGAAAAGCUUAUCAUGACCAAGUUUUUUUUGUGAAGCUAACACUGACUUCAUUCAUUGAAUGAAUAGCAAUAACCAAUAUGGUAGAAAGCAAAUAAUCACAUUAGAAGCCAAAUCAAACUAAAAAAGGGAAGAGAAAUUUAACUUACAGUUUGCACAAUUAAAAUAUAAGUCUAGAUUUGACAAUAUUAUUUUUAUCAUUUUCCUGUAAAAUAUUAUUAAAGAUCAAUAAAUUUUAGAACUUCAAAAUAAACCUGAAACUCAACAGUUGAGUUAUCAAGUUGUGGAAAUUUAGAAUGAAUGAGGGCACAACUAUUACUUUAGACACGCAACGCAUUCUGAUAUGCCUUCAAAGAUUGCAAAAGCUUACUAUAAUCCCACGCUUGGAUAACAAAAAAAGUUGUAAGGCAUGCAUUUCCUAGAUUAUUUGAAAAACAAAAUAGUGUAGAUGUGUUAUAUUAUUAUUUGCGUUUAUGUUAUGUACAAAUCAUUUGUGUGUUCAAUUGUUGUUGGAGAAAAAUUGAAGAUUCAGAGCCUCCUACUUCGAAUUCUAUUAUGAAGAUGGGCUCCAGGAAACUUAUGUUUAGGACAUCAAAGAAAAAGUUGUUUUGUCCCAUGCUCAUGCUCUUUCCUUGAUAACAUCCGGAGAAGAUUAGAGUAGUAUAAAGCUACUUUUAGCAUUUGGUCUAUUGAAAUGUACUAAUUUUAUGGGUCUGUUAUUUGCUGGAUUCAUGAAUCCUUAAAUUGUGUCAUUUAGAUUAUUACAAUGCCCCUUUGAUCAUAGAAGGUUGUCAAGAAGAUGGUGAAGAAGAUGGUGAAGAAGAUGACAAUAGAGGAAUUUAGAUGAAGAGAGAAAGAUGCAAUCCUAAACUAGAUGAAGGACAGUAAGGUUUUUAGAUGAAGAACGAAUUUGUUUAUUUUAUGUUUGAAAUCUUUUUAUGUGAAUGAGAUGACUUGAUCUCCUAAUCUCCUAAUACUAGCAGCAAAAUUGUAAGAUUAAUAGUUAGCAGGUUUUUAUUUUGCUAUGUUUAUAUUAACUGCCUUCGUUAAUCAAUCAACAUUCUGUAUUUUGCUAUGUUUUAUA